rnacentral:lncRNA from 1 species
UGGCUUCAUUCUUGAAGUCAGUGAGACCAAGAACCCACCAAUUCCGGACACAAUACUAUUGGAUGUAUGUUUGUCUGGUGUUUUCUUUGAAGACAGAAUCAGAGAGGCUCAGCAAGUGCCAGAACUCAAAUUCAAGUGCAACUCUGCCUGAUGGAAACUCAGGUGAUUUCCACUCUGCCUCCACCUGCAUUCCUCAGCACCAUGCAGUUGGUCCCCAGACUCUAUGCUCCAUGCUGCUUGUGUUUGUUGGUUGGCUGGUUUUGUGUUCAUGUGUUCUGGCUUCUUCAUUUUGGGUCUUUACAUCUUUACAUCUCUAGCAGUUCUUCCCAUGUUGUGUAGCAGUUGUCUCUACAUGACGGUCUGUCUUGUGAGGUUGAGCUCCCUGAAGGCAGCAAGCAUGUAAUUGGUAAAUUCUCAUCAGUUAGCCAUGUCUGGAACAUGGUAGGUAUUCAAUAAAGGUUUUUGCUCAU